rnacentral:rRNA from 1 species
UACGGGGGGGGUAAGCGUUGUUCGGAAUUACUGGGCGUAAAGAGCUCGUAGGCGGCCAACUAAGUCAGACGUGAAAUCCCUCAGCUUAACUGGGGAACUGCGUCUGAUACUGGAUGGCUUGGAUUCGGGAGAGGGAUGCGGAAUUCCAGGUGUAGCGGUGAAAUGCGUAGAUAUCUGGAGGAACACCGGUGGCGAAGGCGGCAUCCUGGACCAAUUCUGACACUGAGGAGCGAAAGCCAGGGGAGCAAACGGG